UCCCUUUGACUGUGAUUAGUUCGAAGGAUGCGCCCGGGAUCCUUUCGUACCUUAACUCGACCAAGUAAGACAUGCUAUUAUCUUGGUGCAGUCUUUACCUGUAACUGUAUGGGUAACAAAUUCAUUACAUUGAUUAUGGCAACUUGUUUUCUGAUAAAUUUUAUAUUUUCCCAGAAAUCCAGUUGCAACGAUCCUACCUAGCACAGUGGUGUCACAAUAUAAGCCAGCACCUACUAUCGCAUACUUCUCAUCCAGAGGGCCUUCCUCCCUCUCAAGGAAUAUCCUCAAGGCAAAGCCAGUUCUUCUAGACAAAUUAUUUCAUUGGAUUCAUGAAUAGCAUCUCCCGCAAGUCACAGAAGCCUCACCUGAGUAUAUGUGUGAAUAAAUUGUUCUCUUGUCUUCUUGCUUUGCAGCCUGAUAUUGCGGCUCCAGGAGUAGACAUACUUGCAGCUUGGAUGGCGAAUGAUACAGAAGUGACUCUUAAAGGUAAAGAAUCCCCAAAAUUCAACAUUAUCUCGGGAACUUCCAUGUCAUGUCCGCAUGUUUCUGGAAUGGCUGCUGUGGUCAAAUCCCAGUACCCCUCUUGGAGCCCCUCUGCAAUCAAAUCUGCCAUUAUGUCAACAGGUAAAGAUCUAUGACAAGCACAGGAAAACUAAUUAGUUAAUAUUUCAUUAUUUCAUAUUAAUUUUAGAAUUCCUCUUCCGUUUUCUUUCCCUUGCUUACAGCAUCUCAGAUAAACAAUAUGAAGGCCCCAAUAACAACAGAAUUAGGUGCUAUAGCCACGGCUUAUGAUUAUGGGGCAGGAGAAAUAAGCACAAGUGGAGCACUGCAACCAGGGCUGGUUUAUGAAACAACCACCACUGACUACUUAAACUUCCUAUGCUAUCACGGGUACAACACAUCCACAAUUGAAGUUAUUUCCAAAGACGUUCCAGAUGGUUUUACUUGUCCUAAGGAAUCAAGCGUCGACUUGAUAUCCAACAUCAACUACCCGUCAAUAGCAGUUUUCAACCUCACUGGAAAGCAGAGCAAGAAUAUUACCAGAACCCUAACAAAUGUUGCUGGAGAUGGUAACUCAACAUACUCUCUAACCAUUGAAGCACCUAGCGGUCUAACCAUCACCGUGAGCCCAACUAGCCUGCAAUUUACGAAGAACAGCCAGAGAUUGAGUUAUCAAGUAAUUUUCACUACAACUGUCCCUUCAUUACUCAAAGACGUGUUUGGGUCAAUUAUAUGGACUAACAAAAAACUUAAAGUCCGCACUCCAUUUGUUGCAAGCAGUAGGUAAUUCACAAAACAG
rnacentral:lncRNA from 1 species